CGUGCCGCGCCGCAGCAGCCAUUCCUGGACUCCUGGGGGAGCGGCACCUAGAGCCGCGGCAAGGUGCAAACCGUCUCCGCCUCCCCCCCCCCCCCCCCCUCAAAAAGGCUUCAGGUUCAACCAGUGUCACAGAACCAACAUUUCACCGAUGAAAACUCCAGCUUGUUUUAGGCUGCAGGAGCCGGGCAAAGAACUGCGUGUCCCGUCCAGAGUGCGGCUCCAGAGAGAGAGGGUAGUCGGUCCGCAGAAGCGCGGAUUUCCCGCCAACUACUGCCAGGGACAGCUGUCCUGGCCGCGGCCCUUCACAGCCCCUGUCGCAGCCCAGCUGCGCACAGCACCCGUGGAUCCUCAUGUCAACACAGCGCUUGGCGACAAGGCAGAACAACAGAACUCUAUAAGAAUAAAAAUGCAAUCUCAGACUAAACUAACGAAAUUCAGGGUAAACCCUGACUACACAAAACUGCUGAGAGGAUUUAUAAAAGUCUGGAUCGGUUUCUCAAUCAGAAAUACACUCGUGUUUCCGUUCUCUGGCUUGGCCAUUUAAGUUUAGUCAAGAUGUUUGAAUAUAGAAGCAGAGAGAGAGAAAGAGAGAGAGUACACGCGCGCAUGUAGCUGCUAGCUUGCAGAUGGUUUGCUCUAAGAGUGAUUGUGCCAAGUUCUAGAGAAAUACUCUGGAACAUAAAAAGACAAACAAUCAUGAGAAAAAGAAAAACUUAGAACGUAAUAAAUACCAUUCACUUUCAAAACAUCAAUUGCAUUUAAUUCUACAGCCUCACGAGUAGAAAUUCCCCUAGCGCUAAAAGUUCUCCAAACAUAAUUAUAAACCGAGGAGUUUCUAAAGGGAGAAAGGGUACAGGGAAAAAUAUAGAGACAGCUUUAUAACAUUGUUCACAUUACCCUUUUCUACCUUGGUAUCAACAACAAAGCCAACUUUCUGCAGUCAGAUAUCCGCGAGCCCUUUCAUACUGCUUCUCUUUCUAAAUGGGAGAAAUCAGUGCAAAGACAGGAGAGUGGUUUUGACUUGCAGAUCAGAUCGGCUGGAGGAGCGAACGGCUUGCCUACAGCCUAGCGAAUUUUCAAUUUUCUGCCACUUCUUCCUUAAACCGUCACUGAUAUCAGCGAAUCCCUUGCACCAAACCGCUAACACUUAUCGAUACAGUCAUUCGAAAUUAUGAUUUAUCUGCACUGCGUGUGUUGUGCAAUAUUGGGGGGGAUUUUUUGUGACGAUCGGUGAUUUCUGUUUCUCGCUCAUCAUCUGAUGAAGAGGAGCGGCGGCGUUCCCGGGGACGGUGAUACCACACCACAAGGGUGGACUUUGUUUUGCCGCCGUGCGGGGAGACAGAGUUAAUGUUUUUGUUAAUGUUUAUUUUAUUGGGCAAGGGCUCUGAUCAGUGUGUUAAAGCGGCGAGCGGAGCCAAGCAGCCAAUGCAGCUGCGGACGGUGCCUACCGGCGGUCCGGCCACCUCCCCGCUGCGGCUACCGCCCCGGCCUGGCACGGGCCAAUGAGGCUCGGCGCGGAGCGGCUCCGGCUCUGCGCCCCCGCCGCGUCCCCCAUCCUCGCUUCACGUUCAAGGUUUAACAGCGAGGUCAUGUUCAUUGACGUCAGCUUGAGGUUUACUGUACGUCCGGCUACAUUUACAUACAUCAAGGAAAUUAGGGCAUUAAAAAAAUAUGCAAAUCCUACUGCUUGGAGAAGAAACUGAAGAUUUCUGGAGCGAUCGCCCCUAUUAAUGAAGAUCGCAAUUAAUAGAAAAAACAAUCCGUUCUCCCCCCCUCCCCCCCAACUUCAUAAAGAACAAAACCAAAAAAAAAAACCGAAAUAACAAAUAUAAAUUAGGCACGGGAAGGCUGGGAUUUUGCGUCGGCCGGGGCCGGCUGCAACGCGGCACGGAAGAGACCCGCUCAGAGCAGGCUGCUCCAGACGGCUUCCCAUGCAUAAUCAGGGAUUCACCGCUGCGCCAUUCUCCUCUCCUCCUCCUCCUGGUUCCACCGUGUACUAUUUUUAAUAGCGAUGCAUAUGUAAAGCUCUAUUUUGCAUUUUUUAAUUAUCCGAAAGUUUGAAGCUAUCGCUUUUUCUCUGAUUUUUCCUUCCUUUCUUUACUCUUCUUUUUCUUCCCCUUCCCCUCCCCCCGGCAUGACUCUGCUGUGUAUGUGCCUUUAUAUGCAGUUUCCUCCCUGCUUUUAUUUGUAUAAGGUUACAAAAUAUGCACAAAGCUAAUAAAGCAAAUAAAGGCGCACAACACGUUUAUUGGGUUUUAAGAGGAGAGGCACAUAUCAUUACCAUGUUCAGCUAUAAUACCAAUAGGUCGAACCUGGAAAUUUGAUUGCCUAAUUAACUUCAUAUUAGGGAAAAACAAUACUGUUUUAAGGUAUAAGGCAAUACAGAUAAUGGGUGUAAUGGGGACCGAUUCAAAGGAUUUAUAAUACUUCCUUGCAGAAUUACGACUUAUAAACGCACUUAUAUCUCUGUUGAUUUCUAGAUUGUUUUAUUUCAGAAUAUUAUCUUAA